rnacentral:rRNA from 1 species
AUUGAACGCUGGCGGCAGGCCUAACACAUGCAAGUCGAGCGGUUGAGGUAGCUUGCUACCGAUGCAGCGGCGAACGGGUGAGUAAUACAUGGGAAUCUGCCUGGUAGCGGGGGACAACGUUUCGAAAGGAACGCUAAUACCGCAUACGCCCUACGGGGGAAAGGGGGGGAUCGCAAGACCUCUCGCUAUCAGAUGAGCCC